GGGGGGGGCAAGCGUUGUUCGGAAUUACUGGGCGUAAAGGGUUCGUAGGUGGCCUACUAAGUCGGACGUGAAAUCCCUCAGCUUAACUGGGGAACUGCGUCUGAGACCGGUGGGCUUGAGUGCAGGAGAGGAACGCGGAAUUCCAGGUGUAGCGGUGAAAUGCGUAGAUAUCUGGAGGAACACCGGUGGCGAAGGCGGCGUUCUGGACUGCUACUGACACUGAGGAACGAAAGCCAGGGGAGCAAACGGGAUUAGAUACCCCGGUAGUCCUGGCCCUAAACGAUGAAUGCUUGGUGUGGCGGGUAUCGAUCCCUGCCGUGCCGUAGUUAACGCGUUAAGCAUUCCGCCUGGGGAGUACGGUCGCAAGGCUG
rnacentral:rRNA from 1 species